rnacentral:rRNA from 1 species
UGCAGAGCAAAUCCCCAAAAGCAGUCUUAGUUCGGAUUGUAGGCUGCAACUCGCCUACAUGAAGUCGGAAUUGCUAGUAAUCGCGGAUCAGCAUGCCGCGGUGAAUACGUUCCCGGGCCUUGUACACACCGCCCGUCACACCAUGGGAGUCGGUAACACCCGAAGCCUGUAGUCUAACCGCAAGGAGGACGCAGUCGAAGGUGGGAUUGAUAACUGGGGUGAAGUCGUAACAAGGUAUC